rnacentral:rRNA from 1 species
CCGACGGGUGAGUAACACGUAUCCAACCUGCCGUCUGCUCUUGGCCAGCCUUCUGAAGGAAGAUUAAUCCAAGAUGGCAUCAUGAGUUCACAUGUCCGCAUGAUUAAAGGUAUUUUCCGGUAGACGAUGGGGAUGCGUUCCAUUAGAUAGUAGGCGGGGUAACGGCCCACCUAGUCAACGAUGGAUAGGGGUUCUGAGAGGAAGGUCCCCCACAUUGGAACUGAGACACGGUCCAA